UACGGGGGGGGGCAAGCGUUGUUCGGAAUUACUGGGCGUAAAGGGCUCGUAGGCGGCCAACUAAGUCAGACGUGAAAUCCCUCGGCUUAACCGGGGAACUGCAUCUGAUACUGGAUGGCUUGAGUUCGGGGAGAGGGAUGCGGAAUUCCAGGUGUAGCGGUGAAAUGCGUAGAUAUCGGGAGGAACACUGGUGGCGAAGGCGGUUCUCUGGGCCUUACCUGACGCUGAGGAGCGAAAGCGUGGGGAGCGAACAGG
rnacentral:rRNA from 1 species